CCUACGGGUGGCAGCAGUGGGGAAUAUUGGACAAUGGGGGGAACCCUGAUCCAGCCAUGCCGCGUGUGUGAAGAAGGCCCUCGGGUUGUAAAGCACUUUCAGUGAGGAAGAACGCCUGGUGGUUAAUACCCAUCAGGAAAGACAUCACUCACAGAAGAAGCACCGGCUAACUCCGUGCCAGCAGCCGCGGUAAUACGGAGGGUGCGAGCGUUAAUCGGAAUUACUGGGCGUAAAGCGCGCGUAGGUGGCUUGAUAAGCCGGUUGUGAAAGCCCCGGGCUCAACCUGGGAACGGCAUCCGGAGCUGUCAAGCUAGAGUGCCGGAGAGGAAUGUAGAAUUCCCGGUGUAGCGGUGAAAUGCGUAGAGAUCGGGAGGAAUACCAGUGGCGAAGGCGGCCUUCUGGACUGACACUGACACUGAGGUGCGAAAGCGUGGGUAGCAAACAGGAUUAGAUACCCGGGUAGUC
rnacentral:rRNA from 1 species